GAACGCACCUUGCACCCUUUGGUAUUCCGAAGGGUAUGCUCGUUUGAGUGUCAUUGUAUUCUCACACUUCCGAUCUUUGGGUUGGGAGCGGUGGACUUGGGUUUGCUGCUUCACCGUGGCUCACCUCAAAUAGGUUAGUGCAGCUCUUGGUUGGACAUAGUACGGCGUGAUAAGUGUUUUUCGCCGGUGCCUCGCAAAGAGGGUGGCCGAUCGGGAUGUUGUGCUCCAAACCGUCUUCGGACAAUCUCUGACGACUUGACCUCAAAUCGAGUAAGACUACCCGCUGAACUUAAG
rnacentral:misc_RNA from 1 species